rnacentral:tRNA from 1 species
GAAAGGUUAGUUUAAACAAAACAUUAACUUGUCAAGUUAAAAAUAUUAAUAUAGUACCUUUUA